AUUCGCCCGCCGCGCGCGGCGGGCGGGGCGGGGGCACGGGGGGCCUACGGGAGGCAGCAGUAGGGAAUCUUGCGCAAUGGGCGAAAGCCUGACGCAGCGACGCCGCGUGCGGGAAGAAGGCCUUCGGGUUGUAAACCGCUUUCAGGAGGGACGAAGCCACUCGGGUUAAUAGCCCAGAGGGUGACGGUACCUCCAGAAGAAGCCCCGGCUAACUACGUGCCAGCAGCCGC
rnacentral:rRNA from 1 species